rnacentral:rRNA from 1 species
AGUCUAGAGAAUCGUUUUCCGCGUUGGCCUGUGUACAAGUCCCUUGGAACAGGGCGUCAUAGAGGGUGAGAAUCCCGUCCUUGACACAGAUUACCAAUGCUUGUGAUGCGAUCUCGAAGAGUCGAGUUGUUUGGGAAUGCAGCUCAAAAUGGGUGGUAAAUUCCAUCUAAAGCUAAAUAUUGGCGAGAGACCGAUAGCGAACAAGUACCGUGAUGGAAAGAUGAAAAGCACUUUGGAAAGAGAGUUAAACAGUACGUGAAAUUGUUAAAAGGGAAACGAUUGAAGUCAGUCAUGCUUUCCGAGACUCACCGAUUCUGUCGGUGUACUUCUCGGUUGGCAGGCCAGCAUCAGUUUCGAUCUGUGGAAAAGGUUGGAGGGAACGUGGCAUCCUCGGAUGUGUUAUAGCCCUUCUUCGAAUACAUAGAGCGGGACUGAGGAACGCAGCGCGCCUUUUAUUAGGUUGGCCCUCGGGUACAUACGCGCUU